UAAUAAGUGUUUUAUGGCACUUUUUAAAUCCAUAGUCCACCUUGUGUGCAAUGUCAGUCGAUCUUCUUCAUGGAGAUCGACCAAACAUCAACCUUUAUCUUUUAACAUCUUUGUCUGAAAAAUAUUAUGAAUAAACAAUUCAAAAUA
rnacentral:misc_RNA from 1 species